rnacentral:lncRNA from 10 species
AUACAAAUAAAAACAGUCCCUGCCCUCAAGAAACUUACACAAGUAAUAAGCAGAAGAAAAUAGAAAAAGAAAUGUCAUUACAAACCCAAACCUCCCUGUCCAAUUUUCUCAUUGUACCCUUGACUUAAUAUUAUGAUUAAUAUUUCCUAAAAGUUGAAAUCCUCCUAGUAAUAGAUCAAUAGACUGAAAGUAAGCAGUAGAAAAUUUGCUUUUUGUGCUUUCUGAAAACUUUGCUUCUUAAUCAAAUUUUCUAAUGUUUUAAAUUUAAUAGUUCAACCAGAGUUUGAGGCACAAAGGGAGAGAUAAUAAUUCAGGGCACCUCAAGAUUUUCCCUUCAACCUCCGACCGAAUGGAGCCUUCGGUACCUCUGUGCCUAUUGGCCAUGCUGCAGGAAAGCUCAGUUAUGAAAUCUUCCACUCUGAGAUCUUGGCAGAUCAAAAACUAUACGGAGCAUUUGGUGAGGUACCAUUUAUGUGAGGCAGUCCCAAAUGUUUGGCACAUUUAUGGGAAGCAUCCUGAUGAAGGAUUUACAGUGGUUUCUUCUAACUGGGAUCACUCCUAGGUCUAGUACUAAUAAAGAGAAGAAGAUCGGAGCAGCUUUGACAUGAAUGGAUCCAUCUGGCCUGGUCUCCAUACAAGUUUCCUAUGAGUUUGGUGAGUGU